CCGGGAUGAUUAUUUUGUUAUUAAUAGACCUUUCUUAAGGACGUGGUAUGGAUGGAUGAAGGCAUAGAACAGGCGCAUCCCAGCCUUCUCUUACCCAAAUUUGUGAGGCAAGCAUCCUUCCAUCGUUUUAUGGAUUGAAGAAGGCGCACAAUGAGAUCGGUCCACCCUUCUCUUACCCGGAUCAGCCAAGGGAGCAUCCUUCCAUGACAACGGCCAAAUCAUGUACCGAUGGCCUCUCGACGGCGUCGUGUACGUCUAGGUCAACACAUUCGCCUCAGGGGUUAUCCUGAUGGAGCUGAGAAGCGGCUCAGCCUCACUCUCCAAAGAUACAAGAGAU